CCAAUAGCGUAUACUAAAGUUGUUGCAGUUAAAAAGCUCGUAGUUGAAUUUCGGGGUUAGUAGGUUGGUCAUGCCUCUGGUAUGUACUGGUCUCACUGAUUCCUCCUUCCUGAUGAGCCGUAAUGCCAUUAAUUUGGUGUUGCGGGGAAUUUGGACUGUUACUUUGAAAAAAUUAGAGUGUUUAAAGCAAGCUAACGCUUGAAUACAUUAGCAUGGAAUAAUGAAAUAGGACGUUCGAUCCUAUUUUGUUGGUUUCUAGGGUUGACGUAAUGAUUAAUAGGGAUAGUUGGGGGCAUUAGUAUUCAAUUGUCAGAGGUGAAAUUCUUGGAUUUAUUGAAGACUAACUACUGCGAAAGCAUUUGCCAAGGAUGUUUUCAUUAAUCAAGAACGAAAGUUAGGGGAUCGAAGACGAUCAGAUACCGUCGUAGUCUUAACCAUAAACUAUGCCGACUAGGGAUCGGAUGAUGUUAAUUUUUUAAUGACUCAUUCGGCGCCUUACG
rnacentral:rRNA from 1 species